rnacentral:rRNA from 1 species
UGGGGAAUCUUGCACAAUGGGCGAAAGCCUGAUGCAGCCAUGCCGCGUGAAUGAUGAAGGUCGUAGGGUUGUAAAAUUCUUUCAACGGUGACGAUAAUGACGGUAGCCGUAGAAGGAGCACCGGCUAACUUCGUGCCAGCAGCCGCGGUAAUACGAAGGGGGCUAGCGUUGUUCGGAAUUACUGGGCGUAAAGCGCGCGUAGGCGGACUCUUAAGCCAGAUGUGAAAUCCCGAGGCUCAACCUCGGAACUGCAUUUGGAACUGGGAGUCUAGAGGUCAGGAGAGGUUCGUCGAAUGCCGAGUGUAGAGGUGAAAUUCGUAGAUAUUCGGUGGAACACCAGUGGCGAAGGCGACGAACUGGACUGAUACUGACGCUGAGGUGCGAAAGUGUGGGGAGCAAACAGGAUUAGAUACCCCCGUAGUCC